rnacentral:lncRNA from 1 species
AGGCAAAAGGGCAUCCAAAUGGAGGCUAAUGAGUGCAUCCCAAAAUGCUGGUCCAACAUGAUCAAUACAGACUCCUUGGCUGGAUUCUCAGAAAUAUGGAUUCCAAUGCAAAAGGUCAAAGGCAGAAGGAUGGCAUGAAGAGAAACCUCAAAGGCAGAAGAUUUGUUGUUAAGAAAGGUGGACCAGAACUUUGUGGAAUGUACCUGGGGACUCCCUAGAGAACUUGUGUUCCAGGGCCUCAUCCAACCUAGAAAGGAGAGAGAACCCUGAAGACCUCUGCUCCUUUCCAUUGGUGUCUUAUUCUGUCUGUGAAAUUAGCAUAAUGAUGAUAACCUUUUUGAGGUGGUUGCGAAGAUGAAGGUGGGGAAGAUUGGAUUAUGGGGUAGGAUUACAGAUGGUGCCCCAAAAUUAUU